CCUACGGGAGGCAGCAGUGGGGAAUAUUGCACAAUGGGGGAAACCCUGAUGCAGCGACGCCGCGUGAGUGAUGAAGUAUUUCGGUAUGUAAAGCUCUAUCAGCAGGGAAGAAAAUGACGGUACCUGACUAAGAAGCCCCGGCUAACUACGUGCCAGCAGCCGCGGUAAUACGUAGGGGGCAAGCGUUAUCCGGAUUUACUGGGUGUAAAGGGAGCGUAGACGGUCGUGCAAGGCUGAUGUGAAAUCCCGGGGCUUAACCCCGGGACUGCAUUGGAAACUGUACGGCUAGAGUGUAGGAGAGGCAGGCGGAAUUCCUAGUGUAGCGGUGAAAUGCGUAGAUAUUAGGAGGAACACCAGUGGCGAAGGCGGCCUGCUGGACGAUAACUGACGUUGAGGCUCGAAAGCGUGGGGAGCAAACAGGAUUAGAUACCCCGGUAGUC
rnacentral:rRNA from 1 species